GAUUAACGCUGGCGGCGUGCAUAACACAUGCAAGUCGAACGAUGAAACUUAAAUGAUUUCUUCGGAAUGAACUUAAGUGGAUUAGUGGCGGACGGGUGAGUAACGCGUGAGUAACCUGCCUUACACAAGGGGAUAGCCGUUGGAAACGACGAAUAAUACCCUAUGAAACUAUCACUUCGCAUGAAGCGAUAGUCAAAGUGUUAGCGGUGUAAGAUGGACUUGCGUCUGAUUAGCUAGUUGGUGAGAAAAAAGCCCACCAAGGCAACGAUCAGUAGCCGGCUUGAGAGAGUGUACGGCCACAUUGGGACUGAGACACGGCCCAGACUCCUACGGGAGGCAGCAGGGGGGAAUUUUGCACAAUGGGGGAAACCCUGAUGCAGCGACGCCGGGUGAUUUAGAAGGCCUUCGGGUUGUAAAAAUCUUUUGUAUAGGAAGAAAAUGACAGUACUAAACGAAUAAGGGCCGGCUAAUUACGUG
rnacentral:rRNA from 1 species